rnacentral:lncRNA from 1 species
AUCUCUCUCUCUCUCUCUCCCUCCUCUCUCCCUCCUCUCUCCACAUGAAGUGUAACCAUGUUUAUUCAGAGCAAUGGACUCGGAGGAGGAUACAUACGCUUACUAAAAACCAAGAGAAUUAGCGUACGAAAACUAAAGCAGACAAACGAAGCGGAUAGCGUGCUACUUAUCUCUCUCAAAAAAUAAAUAAAUAAAUAAAUAAAGCGGACACAUGAAAACUUGUAUAUAUAUGUGAUAAAUUACCUCUAAAGCAUAUCUUUAAUCUAUACUAUAUAAUGAUCACGAACGAUAUAAUUAAGCAAACGAGGAAACUCUUAUGUACAUGCGAAGUGUGAGUAACUAAGAAGGAAUUAACUACCAUUAAUAAUUACUCAUAGAUAGACCACAUAUUUAAUUAACUAAGCAAACAUUAACAGAAUCCAUUCCCUACUCUCUCCCUCUCUCUCUCUUCUUUCUCCUCUAUAUCAAUCCACAGAGCAAAUCCAUGGCUCCACCAUACCUUCGCCUCUCGCCGCCACUGCCACCGCCGAGGCCACGCUCUCUGCCGACACCUUCUCCACCACAAACUCCGCCGCCGCCGCCGCCGCCGCCGCUGCCGCUGUAGUAUAGUUCAUCUUGCAACUGCCCACCGGCCCAUUUGCGGCCCAACCCGUAGGCCCAUUAAGCGCUGGGGGGAGGCCCAUCACCCCGGGCCCGUACUCGGUAGGUGGUGGGGGGAGCAGUGCUGGGGAUUGGAGGAGGGAUUGGAAUGUGAGAAUAGGGUUUUGGAGGUGGAGAGGCACCACUAAUGGAGUUGAAGCAGCGGCAGUAGUAGCAGUGGCGAUAGAAGAAGCUGAGGAAGAAGAAGAAGAGAAGGGGCGGAGGAGGUAAUUGUUGGAAGGGUUUAGGGAGGAGUAGGAGGAGGAGGAGGAGGAGGGUGCAAAUAUACUUAUUUUGAACGGGAAAUAAUUAAUUCUUUUUAUGAAUUAUAUAGGUGUUCGGAUACAGUGGCUAACCGAAAUCCCAAAUAGUGAUUGUUUUCUUUGGGUGCUAAUAUGCUAAACCGUUCAAUAACGUUUUAAAUGUUAACUCAUAAUAAUAAGUAUAUAGUACGUCUUUUAUAUAUAAAACUAGAAAUUUUUUGUAUACAUGAUACAUAAAUUUAUAGUGUUAACAGUGUGUAGUGCUCAAAACUUUUGAAGUCGUAGUGUAACAAGACUUUUAAUUUAGUUGUUGUGCAGAUUAUUACAUCCACAUUGAAUUAAAUCCAAGAGAUUUUAUUGUUUUCCGAGAUACAUUUAUCCUACCACGUACCACGCGGUCCACCUACCUUAUUAAAUAAAAGAGAAAGAGAUGAAACAGGACGAGCAGUGGCAGAGGAAACGUUGGUUGGGUAACCUCCUAGAAAGUUUCGCCUUUGCGCCCGAGUAUGUGUGUUGUUGUUGUUGUUGUUGUUGUGGGAUGUGGUGUUGCGUUGGGUUGGGGUUGGGGAAAUUAAUGUGGGGAGAGGGAGUAAUACAUGAGGGGGAGAGAGAGAGGUAGAGGAAGAGAGAGAGAGAGAGAGAGAGAGAGAUCUGUAUGUGUGUUUGUGUUCUUCGUGCAUUCUACCUGAGCCGGAGGCGGAAACUGAGGGAGCUGAUAGAGGAGGGGGUUGCGCUUGAGGGGAGAGGCCCCGGGCGGCGGCGUCGCUCGCGGCGCCGCCGCCGCCGCCGCCCCCGCGGCUCUCCCCCCUCUUUCGCCCGCGCGCGGAGCGCCGCGCGCGGCUGCUGCCACGACUGUUGCCUACGGAGGUUGAAGGCCCGGUACCACGUCCUUAAAUGCCCUUAUGGGAGCGGAGGAAAGGGGUGGUGAAGCAGAAGAAGGAGGAGGAGGAGGGAGGUGGAUAAGAAUGGGGGAGCCGGGGAGAAGCUUGGUCAANNNNNNNNNNNNNNNNNNNNNNNNNUGCGCAUAGGUGUGCCUUAACUAGGGCUAGGUUGCGGAAGGCAGCAUACCUUGUCUACUCAGCGUCUAGUGCUUCUGCCACGAUCGUCAGAAGGCUACAGAUGCAAGGAAGAACACUUUUAAUAACACCUGAAUGCUUUCAAACUCUCUCUUCUUAUAAACUUAGGAUAAGUGCAGUUAAUUACUAUAGAGUAGUGGAAUUACUUCGGCGUCGAUUCGAUAUAUAUAUAUCGAGACGAAUUAAUUCCUCAUGGUUGUUUCUCGGCAUGCUUUGCCGAAGAAUUAACUCGGCAUAGAAUCCGGUCGGUAUAAACAACAUUGAUUAAUAUAAGUUUAUCAAUGUUAGGGUUAAACUAUUAAAAGUUAAUCAAUAUUAAGAUAUGAUAGACAACGUUGAUUAACCUAAUGUAGGUUGAUUCCUAAUGUAGGUUAAUCAACCUUGUAUCCUAUAAAAUAAUAGAGAGGGAAAUUAAUCUAGUAUAGAUAAUAUUGAUUUAUAAGAGAGGCCGGGCACGUGCGCGGCUAAUCGGAGGAUCAACUUCAACCGUACAGUAGAUCAAGAGACCUUAACUGGUCCAAGGUAAUGUAAUCUAAACUUCGGAUUUGUUUAGAUUAGAUUUUAUUUUACAUUGUAACAUGAGAAUGAUCCGCCGGCACUGGAUUGAUUUGUUUUGUUUUGUUUCAUAUGUGAUAUGGAUUUCGUUUUCGUUUUUCCGCUGCGAUUUUUUAAGUGCCGGAUAUAUUUUCUAACAUCUUUUCAGCUGCCGUAAAUUAUGUAUAUCUUUCUAUUAUUCAUAUUUCUCUUCUAAUUAAGUAGCAUUAUGUACGUAUAUUUGUAAGAUAUUACAAAAUUUAUUUAUAAGCACAAUAUUAUUCUGUUAGAACAUGUACACAGCAUGUAGUGAUGCAUUUGAUGCAGCUAAGAAUUUUCCAAGCGACAGAGCUUGUGUGUGAACUAGUAGUGGAGAUAAAAGAUUAAUGAAUCGAAUAAAGAAAAAGUAAAAGAGAAACAAAAAAAAGAAAAAAGAGGAGGACAAGGGGACAAAAGUGUGAAAAAGGAGAGGGAUUGGUCGCGAGGAAAACCAAAAAAGUAAAUCUUUUUCGAGCACACAAUCGAGAGGACAUAGAAGGGUUAAUGAGAAAGUUACCGACCCACGUUAAAUACUUUAUAAAGUUUAAAAUAGUUACCAAGCUAGGAAGUGUUAUAAUUAGAGCACAUUAAAAAAAAAAUAUAUAUAUAUAUAUAUAUAUAAAUUUUGGAUGUGUAAUUUUCCAUUUUAACAUGCAUACACGUAGUGGUAGAACCGUUUACACCGUUUAUCGAACCUAAAAAUUUUGGAUGUAUACCAAAAUUAAGAAGUUAAGAUAUACAAGCUGGAAAAAGUUUUAGUUUGAGCAUCAAUAAGAAAACUCGAGUCAAAACAUUAGAAUUCUAAUAAUACAAUGUCUCUAAAGUUUAGAGGAGUUUUGAUUUUGAGUCUCAACAUAAUUAAGGAACUUGAUUUAAUUACAAUAGGGUGUACAUAAUGAAUAAGCUUUCGAUUCUUAAAUAAAAAAUUAAAAAAAUUUGAAAUUAGACAGACCUGAUAUAUGGUUAACCAAGUGUGUUGACAAAAAAUUACAGUACAAAUGAUGAUCAAGAUUUGAAUUAAUUUUCUCUAGUUAUGUAUAAUUACAAUGUUCUAAGAAAUAUUUUGCAAUUUUUUAAACAAGAUUUAUUUAAUUAAGAUUACAAUGACUUGUUUAGUUAUAUUUAACUUGGCCUUUUUAAACUAUUACAAUGACUCUCUUUGUCUAGAUUGUAGAACCCAUACUUCAUUUCAGGUUUAAAGCAUUUUCUCUAUGCUCACUCACUAUCCGAUGCAAUUUUAUUUGUUCAAUUUCAUAAAAUUUUUAUUAGAUUUAAAUAAAAAAUGAUAUGAGUAGCAAAAAAAUGUGAGCCAUAAAAAAAUUGUUAGCAUAGAUGUAUGAAUAAAAUCACUCAAACUUUCCACAACUUCAGGUUAAUUUGGAAGGUUUAAUUGGUUGACCUAAGCACAGUUGAGUUUUUUUUAAAAUUUUUUUUUUUCUGUUUUUUGAACAAAAUGGUAGAUCCAUAACUCAAAAGACUUAUUAUUGAAGGUUUUUCUUUUUUCUUUUUUUUCCGCUCCUCACAGAGCCUGAAGCUCGAACACUCUACUAACAAACGCGCAAACGAAAAUCAAAUUUCCGACCUCGUGGAUCGGUACUCUCGUGGCUAGUGGUUGGACCUAAAGAACAUUGCGUGCAUAUUUUUAAUUCAUUCGCAUGCAGUUAAAUGCAAUUCAAUUAAUGGAGAAAAGGACACAUUUGAAAGGUGGUGGUCUCAGAUGCUGCAUCUAUAAAUAUAUCAUAGCUAUGAGGUUGUAUAUAAGAUAAUUUGUACCAAAAAAAAAAAAGAAGAAGCUACGUAUGGAUAUUAAACCAUCAUGACUAAUUAAACACCUAGGAGCUAAUUAAAACGUGAUUAUAAGGGCAAUAAAUUAAAACCCAAAAGAUUCCAAUUUGAAUUAUUGGAUCAUGAAUUGCCACAUAUAUAUAUAUUCUGGAUAUGAGUUUUUUUUUUUUUUUUAAAAAGUUGAUCAAUCAAUAGGCAAUAGCUAGUACAAUUGAUAGAAAUUUUUUAUGAGGUAGAAUCAUUACAUUAAUAAGGUGGAAACGUAUGGCCAUUCGAAAAUUGUUUCCUCAACUUUUAUUUUUGGAAUAAAGAUCUUAUUAACUUUUUAUUUUUUAAAAUGAAAUAAUUUUGCUAAAUAAAUUAGAAAUUUUACCAAAUUGAUUAGGGAUUUUAUCAAAUUUAAUAAUUUUAGCCACCUUUUAGUAAAUACAACAAGACAGUUAAUGGUUGAUAACGAUUAGAGUUAUUAAAAUUGAAAGAAAAAAUUAAGCUAAUGAAAUAUUAAAAUUUAAAUAAAAAAAAUUAAAAGUUAAGGGGGGCUCUCAAUCAAGCCACUAAUAGUAGCCCGAAAAAGAGACGCUGGAGGUUCAAAUCUCCACCUGUUCUUAGACAAGGCAGGUUGGUGAUUUAUAUUAAAAAUAAAAAAAUACUGAGAAUUUUGUGAAAUCUGAAAACUACGUACAAGCUAGAUAUUAAAAUAAAUAAAAAAAGAUGAGAUGCAUUAGUAAUUACUGAUUAAAUCCAUCCUACUCAAAAGAUUAUUAUUAUUAUACACAUUAAUUAAUAUUCAUCACUCAAAUUCAAAAAAAAAAAUAGCGUCACAUGACUUUGUCGUCGCCUUCUUCUUUUCGUGCAAAUAUUUUCUUCUAAAAAAAAUUAUGACCAAAUUGGCCCUCCGUUUUUAGUAUUUAUUAACUUAUGAAUUGGGAAACCGGAGGUUCCUGAGCCGUCACGUGGCGUGCGGGCGCGAGGGGGCAGCCGUGAGCAGGCGCGAGUGGGGCGGGCGAGCUGCCGCGGGCGCGCACGAGGGCGUGGGCGCGACCCCGCAUGAGGGGAGCUGGCGGGGCUCACGGGUGUCCCUACACGUGGUCCACGGGGCGGGCGGCUCAUGGUGGACCGGCUGAUGGAGGGGGUAGUGGACCCUGCCUGAGGGAGAGGGAGCCACUCCUAUCUCUCUCACUUUUUUGAAUUUUAAAAAAAACUUAAUUAUAGUAUUUUUUAUAAAAGUAAAUUAUUUAUAUCUAAAUAAUUAUAAAAUUAAAAUUAAUAUUUAAUACAUACAAUCUAAAAUAUUUAAAAAUUAAGCAUAAAUAAUUAUAUAUUAUAAAGUUUUAUUAUAAUUAAAACACAAACUUAUGAAUUUACAAUUUGACCCCGACCGGACUGAUUUUAUCCAAUUCAAUUAAUUUUUUUAUUAUAAAAAUUUAAAAUAUAUAAUUAUAUAUGUUAAAGUUUUCGCGUUAUUUUUCCUUUAAGCAGUUUAGACUUUAUAAAGUAAAAAAAAAUACCCCGUGCAUUGCCCGGGGCUUCCUUAACUAGUCUCUAUAAGUUUGCGAGUACAUGUAUUUGGUGAAGGCUCAACUAAACAAGCAUUAAUGAUGAUAUUACAUCAUCAUUAUCUUAAGAGUGAUAGCGACUCAAUAACCUACGCUCGUUGUAGUGCUCCAACUUCGAUCUUCUACGUCUUAUCAUUGUGCUUUUCAUGUUUGAUGGUUUCUUAAGCAACCAUUAAAGGAUGGGUCAGGCGAGAACAUCAUUUAAUACAAUUUAUAUCACUUGAGAGCGAAACCGCAUCAUUUGAAUGCCAUCGUAUGAUUAUUCCAAAGCCAUAAGUUUAACAAGACCAUAUUAUAAGAAUAAAAGCAAAUUAAUCAAAUAUAGUAAUUGGGCCACAGAUAUAUAACGCCAUAUGAGAGAUAAAUGGGCCGGGCCCUGUUAGGUCGAUCUCGGCCCAACAUGUGAACAAGCAAAUUGUUUGUUAGGUUAAAAAAAUGACCAAAAAAUUAAUAAACGCCGGUGUAUGGACCCGGUGCAUGGAAUUAUUUCUUUUGUCAUUAGCUCACGUGCAAAACCAACAAGUCAACACGUGUCUAUGCAUCACAUUGCUAUAUAUAUAUAUAUAUAUAUAUAUAUAUAUAUAUNGUAUGUUAUAGAUAUUAUAUAUAUAUAAUAUAAUAACCACUGCUGUUUCUGCAAUCCAAAAUAAAAUAUUUUAUUCAAAAAAUAUUUAUUUUUCUAGAAUUUUUCUUUUUUAAAAAAUACUAUUAAAAAAUACAAUAUAAUUUUUAACAAUUUUUGUUUGCUGUAAACAUUGCAUUACUCCCGCUUUAUACCCGUCGCCCCUUUUGGCACCCACACGCGUCACUCGCCCCGCGCACGUGCCAGUCUCUUUGUUUCCGUGCUAUAAACCGCCGCUUAUUCAGCUCGCUUGGCACCCGCACGUGUCACUGGCCCAUGCACGUCUCAGGCUCCUUUGUUUGCUGUGCUACAUAUAAAGCUCCAAAUGUCCCUCACAUUCGUAGUAAUUAAACCACAGGUGCAUGCUUUUUCAUCAAGAAAAAAGUGCUUAAGCUUAAGCUUUUUUGAGGUUGAGAUAAGAAACGAGGGCUCAACAUGUUAAGGAGAAAAGGAGCAGUUCUCAUGAACUGGUUCAAGGAUGGUGUGCUGAACAAAGCAAGUGGUUUGCUAAGGGAGAAGGAGCAGAUGGAUAAGAACUUCCCUGUGUUGAAGGGCCACCCGAAGGCGCGAAAGCACGCCAAGGAGGCCGUCGAGAGCUACGCGAAGCUCGGUGCGAGAGCGGCGGAGGAGAAGGUGAUGAAGGGAGCGGAGGAGACUAAGGCGUCGAAGGAGUUCAAGAUCUAUAGGUGGAACCCUGAGAAGCCACAUAACAAGCCAUUUCUCCAAUCUUACUAUGUUGACUUAACCACUUGUGGCCCCAUGGUACUCACAAAAAAAAAAAAAAAAAAAAAAACUUUUCCCUAUUUUUAUUUGAAAAUGAGAUUGGGAUCGAGCUGAAAAAUCAUGUGCGAGAAUUAUUUAAUUUCUAAUUAAAUUGAAGAUAAAUUAAGGAUUUGGUGUGAUUUUGACUCAAACUUUACUGUAGUGAUGUCAUGUUUAGUAAUACGAACCAUUCAUUUUAUCAUUAAAAGUUUAAACUUAAAUAAUUAGAGAAUAAUGUUUUUAAUAUUACUGUCAAACUCAUGAUAUCCUGCUAUAUUGAUACUAUGCAAAGCUAUUAAUUUUUUCCUUUACAAAACUUUUAAGUUGGUAGUGAUUAAUAUUUUAAUAUUUUCUACAUAACAAAGUGCAACUAUAUAUUUAGUUUCUAAAAUUUAAUCCCAAAUUCACUGCAUAGAAUUUAUUCUCAACAAGUAAAUUCAUCGAGUCUGAUUAUUGUUCUAUAUAUCAAAAUCGACUCUGACAAUACCAUUUUCUUUUUAAUUGCUGAAAAGUAAUGGUCGUUCCUGAAACAAGGGGAUUGCAUAGAAUUUAUUCAUAACAGCAAGUCUGAUUAUUGUUCUAUAUAUCCCAAAAGCUUACGAUAAGGUUAGAUGGUCGUUCCUGAAAAGUAUACUACGUUGGCUGGGUUUCAGCGAUAAAUGGUGGUCCUGGAUAGAACAAUGUAUCUGUAAUGCUAAACUUGCCAUCCUUUUAAACGACGCGCCGACAACGUGGCUGAAAACUAGAAAGGGAUUGAGACAAGGGGACCUGCUCUCCCCAUAUGUAUUCAUCUUGGUGGCUGAUUGUCUGACCAGAAUUACAGAAACAGCCAGGGGUAACAGUUUGCUCGAAGGGAUAGGGCCAACUGUCGACUGUCAGACUGUGAUCUUGCAAUACGCGGAUGACACAUUAUUCUUUUCGGAGCCAAAGAAGUCGAAUAUGCGAAACUUGCUGUUCAUCUGGAAGUUAUUCGAAUGGGCCUCGGGUCUCAAGAUAAAUACAAACAAAACGGAACUCCAUUAUGUCGGCCACGACUCGAGUAAAGAAACUAGACUUGCGGAGAUUCUGGGGUGCAAAGUAGGCAACCUACCGUUCCGCUAUCUGGGGUUGCCGCUUCACAUCAAGUCUCUUCGACGGGUAGACUGGGCCCCUCUAAUAACUCGUAUAGAGGAGCGUAUAGAAGGUUGGAAAGCAAAGUUACUAUCUUAUGGGGGAAGAAUCACCCUGGUAAACUCGGUGCUCACGAACAUACCCCUAUUCUACUUAGCUAUCUUCAAAGCGCCACAAUGGGUACUAAAACGAAUCGAAGCCCUUAGGAGAUCCUUCUUUUGGAAAGGGUGCGCCAAAAUCUCUGGAGGUGCAUGCCUAAUUGCCUGGAAGUCGAUAUGCAAAAGCAAAAUUGAAGGGGGGUUGGGGAUUAAAGACAUGGAAGCAAUGAAUACGGCGCUGCUAACCAAAUGGUGGUGGCGUUUUUUUUAAUGAGCCGCAGCUACUUUGGGGGAAACUAAUCAUGGCGUUAUAUUACACGAGAAGAAGGCCAUUGAGUGAAGGAAGAUCCUUCAGGCCUUACUCUCAGUGGUGGAGAAGUGUGAUGAGUUGUCGAGAGGUCUUCAAAUGUGGUACUUCAUUUAAACUCGGAGACGGGCAAAAUAUCAAGUUGUGGUCAGAUAUUUGGAUCGGCGAAAUCCCUCUGAGGACCCUAUUUUCCGGAAUUUACUCCAGAUUAGUGAACAACAUGGCCACGGUUGCACAAUGCUGGAAUGAAAGAGGUUGGAGAUGGCGAUUUAUAACUAGAGGCCUAGCAACAUAUACUGACAUCGAUACUCGACAACAAGUCAGGGCGCUCAAAAACCUUCUUUCGACAUACGGCCCAACUGACACACCGGAUAUGCUAAGGUGGAGAUGGACAUCCAACCAAAUAUUUUCAGUUAAGUCCCUGUAUGGCUUCAUCACUGACGCAGGUCUGAGAGACCCGACUGGGGACCACCUGUGGAACUUAAAAAUCCCGACCAAAAUCAAAAUUUUCGUCUGGAUCUUAAUCCGUAAGCGGCUACUGACUGCGGAUAGAUUGAUUCGUCGUGGGUGUCAGGUGGAUCCGCUUUGUAUGUUUUGCGCAGUGCUUCCGGAAAGUUGUGAUCACCUGUUCAGGGAGUGCGUUCUGGUCAAAUAUCUCUUUAUCAGCGCGUGGGGCCCGCCUUACACUGAACCAGUUAUUGGGGAUGUCAGAAGCGUGUGGUUACAGACGGCUAACUCCCCCAAUGCCGAGGUGAGAAGACGGAGUCUCACACGGUUGGUGGCAAUCUGGUGGGUAGUUUGGACGGAGAGAAACAAAUACGUCUUCCACGAGACGAGUCCAGACGCUAUCCGGGCCCUACAGCGAGUUGAAGCGUUGAUCAAAGCCUGGACAAACGUUUCCUAACCGGUGAAUGUUCUUCCUGCAUCGCGUUGAACGUGUACUUCUUGGGUACCUACCUACCUAACUACUAUCCCAGUUUUACUACGUUGUUUUGGUAAGUACACUGGGGUUAUUUUUGUUUUUCUUUGGCUUUUUUUGCUCCGUCUUUUGUUUUGGUUUUCCUUUAGGAGGCCCUGGCUGCCUUCACUUUGUAAGCCAAGUUCAUUUUGCCUAAUAAAUGAAGCAGGUAGCUUGCUACCUUUCUCUCAAAAAAAAAAUUGCUAGCUAGGCUAAUGAAAGGACGUAAUUAUUAGGACACAUUUUUAUAUAAAUUGCUAAAUUUGAAAAAGAAAAAAAAAAGUUUGAAAUUAUAUAAAAAAAAAUAACGUAAUUGUAAAUGUGAACUAUAUGCAGGUCCUGGAUGUGCUUCAGAAGAUCAAAGCAGAGCAGGACUCAACGCUGAGCUACAGGAGAUCAUGCAGAGAAGGGAUCUGCGGCUCGUGCUCGAUGAACAUCGACGGCGUCAACACGGUCGCAUGUCUCAAACCCGUCGACACCGCCGCUUCGAGGGCUACCAUGAUCACCCUUCUCCCUCACAUGUUCGUCGUCAAAGACCUCGUCGUCGAUCUCACCAACUUCUACCAGCAAUACAAGUAAGAGUCCCACAUUGCAAGAAGAAAUGCAUGAACCUUAAUACUAAACUACGUUAGCUAUGUGAGCUAUUAUCUGAUCUUAUGACAUGUUUGAUUUAGUAUGUCUCCGCCGCAAAAUGUAAACUAUAUAUAAUUGGAUUGAAUGUUGUGUUGAUGGUCGAUUGAGCCAUGGCUAAAGGCGAGGAAGCCGCCUCCGAACGGGCGAGAGUACAUUCAGCUACCGAGCGAGAGGAAGAAGCUCGACGGGCUGUACGAAUGCAUUCUAUGCGCGUGCUGCAGCACCGCCUGUCCGGCCUACUGGUGGAACUCCGAGGAGUUCCCGGGCCCGGCCGCGCUGCUCCAAGCCUACCGGUGGGUGUCUGAUAGGUAAGUUUAAGUGUCUAUUUGGUCCUACUUUUCUGAUACAGUAAUGUAAGAUCAGAAAUCAGGGUAUAUGUCUCGUGAAAUGUGUGUUUUGUUUUUCGCGAAGCCGUGACGAUUUUACGGAGGAGAGGAUACAGGCGAUGACGGAGGAUGAGAAGCGGCUGUACAGGUGCAGGACUAUAAGGAGUUGCACGGCGACUUGCCCGAAAAGUUUGGACCCGGCUAGGGCUAUUUCUGCAAUGAGGACUGCUCACCAGCUUCACUAGGCUCAAACUCGGUAUGAGGGGUUGCAGAGGAAUUUGAGUUUUUGGAUGACAUGAUUGUAAGAUUUUAUGUAACUGAAAAAGAGUUGGCAGGCUAGGAGAGCAGUAUGUUGUGUAAUUUUUGUCUUUCUAAAAAAAUUUCAAUUGAUAAAAUGAAUGAUGUGUGGAUUAGUGUCUUUUUUUUUUUUUUUUUUUAGAGAGAAAGGCUAUCUUUUUCGUUUAUUCAGUACAACAAAAACGGUAUAUAGCGACACUUUUAAAUGUAGGUACAUGUCAAAAAAAGUGCUGCUAGCUAAAAUUACCGACACUUUUAAAAAAUAUUGCUAUAUGUGGGGUCGUUAGGUAUAUAGUGACAGUUAAAGAGUGUCGCUAUAACCUAAAAGAGUGUUGCUAAUUUACCAACACUUAUUUAAGCAUUUAGCAACCGCCGAAAUUCUAUCUCGUUGGCUACAGUGGAGGAGGAGGACGGCAGGAAAGGCUCUUCGUCUAGAAUUUCAGUGGAUUGAGUGAAGAGAGAAGAAAAGAUGGUAAUUAAUUUUUCUUUUUUUUUCUUUUCUGUUUAUAAUCGGGCCAAAUGGACUGGGUGUGGUGGGUUGAGUAGAGUAAUCUUUUAUUUUUGAUUGGAUUGGGCUUUAUAUUUAGACAUUGGUAGAUGUUUUUUUAAGUUUUAGUAUAAAUGGAACACUUACUCAAAAGUGUCCCAAACAUGUGUCCCUAUAAUCUAAUUCUGUUGUAGUGAUUUUUUUAUAAAAUAAAUUUAGUUAAAAAUACAGAAUAAUUAAAAUUUGAAUUUACAAUCUCGAAUAUUAAUUAUUAAGUUCUGUUGUCAUUCUUGCUAGGACAUAAUCAAUAAAGUCCAAAAUGAAUCCAACGAAGUUGGGAAAGAAUCUUGGAAACAUUUUUUUGGAUUAGAGUGAUAGGAAAGAAACUAGGAAACAUUUUUUUGGAUUAGAGUGAUAAGCCAGGGUGCGCCCAACCCUAACUCAAGGGGGGCCAAUUGACUGGGUCAGGUCUCAGACCUAACUCGCUGAUCGCCCCGUCCGGACGUGACCAACCCGUGACACCUCGGCCCACCAUCUCGCGCCAAAGUCAAUGUGCAAUAAAACCAACCAUGCGUGAGGGUAAUUCGAUUUUUAGCUUGUGCAUUUAUUUAUAUUAUUAUUAUACGGCUAGGUUCGUACAAUAGCGGAUGCAACUCAAAUGAUUAGGAUAAUUAAGUGUAGUUGGUUGAUUCAAAAUUAAAUAAAUUUAAAAUUUAGACAGUUCAUAAUUCAAAUUAGUUCUCUACAUAUUUCCAUAUCUUUACCCUUUGGUAAAUUAUUAUCUUUGUUAUAAUUAUUAUAAAUAUUUUAGUACAUAAAUUAUUCACAUUUUAUGCUAUUAAAAUUUUGAUUCUUACAUGAAUGAACAGAGAUAUAAUUUGAAAAGCAAAGCGAAAUAAACAAUAUAGAGCAAUUCAGAUCUGAAUCAAUUCUACGCAAGGUAUAUGUGGUGUCGGGACGUAGCUUGCGCACCGGUCCCUUAAUCUGUAGGCUACCCUGUUAACGUUUAAGCAAAUGGCGAUUGCGAAGUGUCGCCUAACAGUAAUUUGUCCAAACAUCAAAAUACAACAAAAGUUUGGGUCUUACAAUAUAAUCCAGGGUCCAAUAUCUUAAUGUUCCCCUAACAAUGUUCAUUACAUCUUGCCAAUUGCUAUACCAACAUCAUAUCACUGGAGUUGUUGGAUUGAAAAUAGACUCAAAAGAUAAAAAUGGAAGAUACUGAAUUUUUUUGCACUAGUUUAUAAAUGGUUUAUUCUAUAUUUCUAACUAAUGAUUUAUUCUUUUCUCUCUCUCUCUCUCUCUCUCUCUCUCUCUAUAUAUAUAUAUAUAUAUAUAUGCGUUUAAUUUAGAUUGUGGCAAAGGGCUUGAUGGUUAGUAUUGAGGUCCCAAGUUCGAAUCCUAGUUGAUUCACAUUUCUCGCUAAAUUUAUUUCUAAAUAAAAUAAACGAAGCGGUAGCGUGCUACUUAUCUCUCAAAAAAAAAAAAAAUUUAGAUUGUGACGGAUCAUUUGAAAAAGUCUAAGCAAUAAUUCCUCUAAGCGAACAAGUUGGUGACGAGUUCCAGCUCGGCUCGCGUACGUGACAAGCACCAACAUCCUACGUGACGAGGUGCACAUGGCCACCCCUUUCCUUAGCUGUUGCAAAAUUUCAAAGUACAAAAAUUCACUCUUUCAAUGAAUGAAGCAGGUAGCGUGUUACCUAUUCUCAAAAAAAAAAAAAAAAAAAAAAAAAACAAUUUUUCUUUCUUUAAAUUUAAAAAUUUAAAUUUAAAUUCGAAGUAGAAUACUUUCUCUUCCAACUUGAUUAUCAAGUAAUAUUCUCCUUGUAAAUCAAAAAAGCAAAUCCCCCGAGCGUCAUUUCUUAGCUGAUUUUAUUUUUAAAAAUAAUAUUUUACAAAAAAUUAAAAGAAUGCCUUCCUUUUUUUUGUUAAAAGAAAAAAAAAAAAAAGCCACCGAUUCCUCGCUUCGUAAGGUAGCCCGUAGCCCUCCCUUUUCACGACUUUAUUUUUAAAAAAAAAUAGUUUUUUUCUUUUUCUCUUUUUAUGCUUGUUGUAUUAUGUUUCUUGUUCUUCCAAUCCAAGCAAUCCCUAGUACUCUUUUUUGACUUUUUGUUUUUUUUUUUUUUUGUCACCCCAACCAAAUAUAUAUAAAUUANUAGAUAAAUAUUUAAUCCUGAUUAGCUAAUGAGGUGAAUUGAUAUUUAUACAUUUUUUUAAUUAACAUUGAGAUUUUUAGAGAGAUAUAUUUGUGAUGAUAAAAUGGUCAUUUCACUUAUAAAAUAGACCGUAUUUUAAUAAUAACAAAUCAAAAAAACGUAUUUAAAAAUAUUAGAACUUUUGUAAAGACAACUUAUAAAUAUUGAACAUUGAAGGAAGAUAUUUACAAAUUAUUAUAUUUAUAGGUACUUGUAUAAAAUUAAUCCUAAAUUAAAUUUAAUACUAAGUACCUCUCUCAUGCAUUAAAAUCACGAUGCCAAAUGCCAACCCCAUCAUAGGAGAGGGAAUUUGUGAACGCCCACUAAGCCCCCCACCCCAACCGUAUUUUAAAUUCCUCUUCUGAGCCUCCUUCCUUCUCCUCCAUGCAACCGCGCCAAGAAGCCUUAUUUCCCACCACACCGUAAUCGUCGUCGUCGGAGGAGGAGGAGAGAUCGAUGGAUGAGGAGGUCGUGAGGCCGUCGGGGUGCGCCAUGCUGGCGCUCUACGGCGGCGUGUUCCGGCGGUGGCACCGCCGCUCGGCGUCGACCAGCUCCAUCCCCCGGUUCGAUCCCGAUUCUCCGGCAGCAGCAGCAGUGCCGCCACUGAAGCCGCCGCAGCAGACGUCACAGCUGCCCGUGGCGGUGGCCUCGGCGGCAAUGAAGACGAAGCGUGCGGCCGCUGACGAUACAUCCCUCGUGCCAGUGGAUAGGUAGUUAUAUAACAACCGUUUUUCUCUAAAAAUUAUGUAAGCUAUUUAUGUAUCGAUAUUUUUAUACGUUAGCUGUAGUAUUAUUUUUCAUGCGCGCGACUUUAAGUUAAACAAGGAAAAUACCAUUAUUACCUUAGGAGCUAGAAAACGAAACUCUCAAAAUAUUGUGGUCGUAGAUAAUCUAUGGUUUAAUGAGAAACAAAAGUUUAUUAACACAUAAGAAUCGUUUGUAGGGCGCCCAAAGCAUUUUCUUUUAGACUCGUAAUGGUAUAACAGUCUCUUACUACCCCACCUGUUGUUUAUUAAUAAUUUUUAUUAUAUAUACUAACUGUCCUUAGAGAAGCGGGUAGCAUGUUACCUAUCUCUCGAAAAAAAAAAAAAAAAUAUUAUAUAUAUAUAUUUUUUACUAAUACUUUGUUUGGAGAUGAAAAAUCAUAUGUCAGUACGAGUGCACUCCAUUAAGUAUUUAAUGGUUAGUAUUUAAAAUUUUUAAUUCAAGACUAAUUGAUUAUUUCUUAUUGUUGGCCGAAAUAUAUUUAAAAGUAUUAAAAUUUUUAAAAAAUAAUAUAUAAAAUUUAAAUUUUAUAAAAAAAUUAUAAUUUAUUAUAUUUGUAGGGAGCAAUGUGCAAUUACCCUUUAUAUUUAAUGCCGAUAUAGGUCACUGGUGACGGCGAAACCCCCGGCUCCGAAGACCGCGGCGCGGAGACCGGCGGAGCCCAAGGCGGCGGCGGCGGCUGCGGCGGCGUACAGCGGUAUCGCCGCCGAUCUCGACCGCAUGAUCCACGACCGCCAGCAGGUGAAGGGGAGCGGGAACCUCCUCCGCGCUUCCUCGGGGAACGUCAUGCUCUUCGGCAACCUCGGCAACCUCCGCCCGGGUCCCCUGCUCGCGGCGCCCUCGCCCGCACGCAACGCGCUCGACGAAACGCCCAAGCCAACGAAGGAGCCCAAGUUCGCGGCGCCGCGCGGGGCGCGGGGCAACAUAGCGAAGGGCGCGGCGGCGAAGGAGGCGGCGGAGGAGGAGGCGGCGGCGAGGCCGGAGCUCUGCCGCGCGCUGUCGAGGAGGCUGGACCCCGAGGAGCUGAAGGAGGUGGGGAACGAGGAGUACAAGCAGGGGCGCUUCGCCGAGGCGCUGGCGCUUUACGACCGGGCGAUCGUGAUGGACCCCCUGAAGGCCGCGUACUGGAGCAACAAGGCCGCCGCGCUCACCGCCCUCGGACGCCUUCUCGAGGCGGUCGCCGAGUGCAGAGAAGCUCUUCGGAUCGAUCCCUGUUAUCACAGAGCACAUUCUCGACUCGCAACUCUUUACCUCAGGUAAUUUCUUUUUCUUUUUUCUUUUUCCUUUUUUUAAAAAAUAUAUAUAUAUAAGAUCAUCCUUCUUUUCUUCUUUCUGAAACUGGGUUAAGAUCAUUUUUGUGCCAUUUCUCAGAUUGGGAGAACCUGAUAAAGCCAUUUACCACUAUAAACAAGCGUCGAAAGAAGCUACCGCCGCCGACAUUUCACGAGCGCAAUCUCUGAAGACGCGCAUCGUUAAGUGCAGUGAAGCCCGGAAGCUGAAGGAUUGGCUCACUGUAUUGAAGAUAUCACAAUCUGCUAUUUCUGACGGUGCCAAUUCUGCUCCACAGGUAUUGCAUCAGAAAACUGAGCAGCUUGCUUGCAUUAUCAAUUAUCGUUACGGAAAGUUGGGGGGGUUGCUUAAAAUCAAUUCUGAACUGAAAGAUAUCCACUUAACAACAUUUGCUUAGCAUCUAACUUUUGAGUAGCAUACAAUGUUCCCUGUGCUUUAUGGAAAGCUACGCACGGCAUGCAUUCGACUUGAAUGUGGGCCUCAGCUUUAGCAAAUUAGCAUAGAAGAGAAUGCCAAGAUCAAUCAUCAGGACCCAGCUUAUUUUUUGAUUUUGUUGUGCUUUGAAAGGUACUCGCAUUGCAAGCGGAGGCUCUCCUAAAGCUUAAAAGGCACGACGAGGCCGACUCGGUGUUUAGCGGUGCACCCAAGUUCGAUGCGGAUGCAUCAACUAAGUUCUUUGGUCCUAUUGACUAUGCGUAUGUCCUUAUGAUUCGAGCGCAGGUGGACAUGGCAGCCGGAAGGUUUGUUUCCUAGGCUUAUACAGAGAAGCUUGAUAUAAUAAUUGUUUCCGACAGAAUAAAUGCCAAUUUAGGUGUCCAAUUUGAAUCUUCUGUUUUUGUUGCGGCAAAAAAACCAUUGAAAAAAUACCUGAUUCAGUUUAUAGCUUGUUAAUCACCACCGACUAACAAAUGGCCUUUGGAUUGAAGGUUUGAGGAGGCAAUCACAGCGGCUCAAACUGCUUCUCAGCUCGAUCCAUACAGCAGAGAAAUAAGCUCGCUAGCCCGAAGGACACGAACUGUGGCAUCGGCACGCUCCAAAGGCAACGACCUCUUCAAGGCAUCCAAGUUUGCCGAGGCAUGCAUUGCAUACGGAGAGGGCCUGGACAAAGAAUCACACAAUGCCGUUCUCCUUUGCAAUCGAGCAGCAUGUCACUCCAAGCUCGGACACUACGAAAAAGCCAUCGAGGACUGCAACGCUGCUCUUGUAGUUCGACCUUCUUACAGUAAAGCUCGCCUGAGGAGAGCUGACUGCAAUGCCAAGGUAUGCGAUGUUACUUGGUUGCUUAUUUAACCUAGCUUCUGGACCUGGGGAUUAUGUGCUUUGAGAACAAUUCAUUUGACAUGAGGAUGAUUUCUUGUUUUGCUAGUUGGAAAGGUGGGAAGCAUCUUAUAAGGAUUGUCAGUUGUUAAUCCAAGAGCUCCCGGGAAAUGAGGAGGUAACCAAGGCCCUAUCCGAGGCUGAAGCCCAGCUCAAGAAGCAGCAGAAACAAGAAGCAAAAGAUAGAUCUCAGUCCUAAUGUUCUAGUCAUUGGCCACAGCGCGUUGUUGUAUUGACUCGGUACGUAUUCCAUUUCUUUGCAUUUUCUCUUGGUUCAUUUCCAUUAGUUAUGCGCUAUUGGCAUUGAAAUCUCUAUUUCUUCAAAUUUUUCUCUACAAACAAAGCUUUAAAAUUUCAGUUACAUUCAAACCGGUAGGAUUUCGUUGGUUAAACCUACAUAUUGGGCUUCUGCUCAGUUGGUCUGUAUUUUUUAAGUUUUGGCUGAAACUUGCAAAAUCUUGAAAUUGGUUAACGGGAUAACAGUAAUGUUGCAUAAAUUGAGUAGCUAGAGGAAGUGUGCAGUGGUUAGCGACCAUUUGUGCCCUAUACAUGGUCAAACCACUUUGAUCUAAGAAGCUUAGGCUAGUGUUUAUCGAUCUUUCCAUCUAUAUAGCCACUCGGUCAUUCUCCAACCAAUGUGGGGCUAUUCAAUCUCACACAUGUUCUAUCAACUAGACAGAACAUCAAAACAGAAACUGCUGAAACGACUGGAACAUAUACUUCCAGAAUCAUUAAAUUUACACAUCCGUAGGCAGUUCCACACUACAUAAACAUUAAAUUUAUCUUUAAUGAAUGAUUGAUACUAAUGAGCAGCAAAAGUCUAGAGAACAAGAUAGUUCAAGAAAUCCUGAAAGCCUACUGAUAAUGCGCUGUUAAUUACAAUUGCUAAAGCAAAGCAGACUAUGACUGUGCUCUGUUUUUUAUUCAAUAUGAGAAAGCUUAAGAUUUUUCUCUCGUCUAAGGUGUUCAUUUACCGUUUUGAAUGGUCGGCUGUCAUACUUUUUCUUACUUUGUCUAGUGUUUCGCAUCGGUGACAGCUACCGAAGUCUUUUGUGUUCACCACUGCAUCAUUCUUUAUUUUCUUUUUCAUACAUUUUAACUUUACAUAUUCUAUUUGAAACAUUGUUUUGACUGAUAUGAUCUGUAAGCUUUCUUAUGAAGCUCCUAAAUUCGACCUAAUUGGUGUUGCUUUUUAAAGGGCUAGUUUGCGUUAUGAGAUGUGGUCCUCUACGCAAUCAAGUACCGCAACUUUUCUAAUGUAGUAGGACAACAUUGAUGCCCUUCAAAUCUUAAUCAAGUGAAACUUGUUUGAAGAAUAAAGGAAGCUUCUGCCGUACAACUUCUUUAUACAAAAGUGAUUGAAUCAAGCUAAUGAUUCUUAUUUUUUCUUUUUCUUUUUUUGUGAUAAAAUGGCAGGACUUCACUGCUGGAUGUCGGCAAGUAGAAGAAGUUUUGAAGUGGAGAAUGCAUUCAAUGGAACAAAUCUGUUAGCUAGAUCCAUCUUACUACAGUAAAGUUUGGUUUCGCGAGUUCUUCCGUUAAGAUUUUUUGUUUUUUCCAGAUAAAACUUUUCUGUAAUGAUAAUGUACAUAUUAGUGAGAUCGUUAGCUAUGAAUGUCAUGAGUGCAUUAGUUUUAUACUUGAAAUCUCGAUGAAAGAAAUAUUACACAACAAAAGAACAGAAAAAAAGAAGUGAAAUGUUGCCAUUCAACAGGAAAAGAAAUUUUGAUGAAUACGAAAGGAAUCCCCUGUAUCUUUUUUUCUUUCUUGAUUGGAAAAAGAAUGAAACUUAAUCAGUUCCAUUUUUCUUUCGGAAAAAAGGCAAAUUAGAGAGAUUGUUGUUCCUUGUAUUUCUAUUCAUGUAAUACUUAUGUAUAGUCAAUUUACAGUACGCAUUAGUGAUGAUAAAUUCAUAACAAUGUUUGUUAUAUCUAAGGUGACUUGACAUUGUUAGUUUCACCAAUGUUCGAGGCAUUUAAUUGAACCAUUAGUGAAACCAAUAAAACAUUAAUCCCAGCCCAUUAUUAUUCUUUUUUCAAAACACUUAACUAAAGAGUACACAAGCACAAUAUUAACGGAAAGAAAGAAAUAGAAAAAAGAAAGGAAAAGAGUUAAAAAAAAAAGAAAAAGAAAAGAAAAGAUCCAGGAUAAUAUACAUUGGGGUAAAAUGAUUAUGUUUGAGCAUCCUUUUGCUUUUGCCAAGAUGAGGUUGGAAAAAGCCGCACCUAUCUUUCCUAAAAGCUACAUGGUAAGGUGCACUAACCCAGCAUCUUGGUCCCAUUGGGCCUAUUUAACUUACACAUCCAACAAGUCGAUAUAAACUCAUUCAAGGCCUAUUUAACUUAUACCUACCUCCUACAGCGCAAGUAGUAAAAAAUUUAAUAUUUGAUUUUUGAGAUCUCAAGUUGGAACGAAAUGAAUUACAUAUUAUCUUUCUCUAAAAAAAAAUAAUAUUAUCAAUUUGCCACUCGAAUGCCUUAUUUUUAUAGCACGUGACAGUUCUGCCUGUCUACUUUUACACAGCGCGCGCGCACACGCAGGAACAUAGUGCACACAUGCACUGGAAACGGAGAGACAAAAUAAAUUAGCUCUAGGAAGGGAAAAAGAAAGAGGAGGGCAAGAGAGUAAAUUGUUGAAAGAUGUACAAUAUUUACAUGCAAAUUCACUCCACAUUAUUUUGGUAUAAGCUCAAAUUUUCUAAAGAAAAAGAAAGCGAAAAAGAAAAAAAAGUACAAAAAACACAACAAAUUAAACACCAGCUAGCAAACGCACGGCCAAGUAUUCACCACCACUAAUAAAAGAAAAAGACCAUAAAAACAUACGUUUGACACACAAAAUCAGAUUCGAUAGCAUAAUAAUAUAAAAAGACUGAUGCUGAUGCUGUAAAGCGAAGAUUUAGUGACCGGAGGCGUCGAGAUCAGGUGUUGUUAUAUCUGACUUCGCUGGUACUUGCCGUGAUCCUCGGCAUCGAUCGAUAUCUUCAAGUCGCUAAACUCACUCCUUUUUAAGAUCCAGCAUCUUUCUCUGAUCACUUUAUCUAAAAUCCAAAUCUAGGUAUGGAACAGCAGCCAUAUCUAGUAUAAUAAGUAACUUGGAAGCGGAAAGAAGAGAAGAGAAAAUGAACGAGAUCGGUGCACUCGAUCUUCUGCGUCGAUCAUCUCUUCCAGCUCCGACUCCUGGCGAAGGGAUCGGCGCUUCCGACGACCCACGUCUCCUUGGCGAUGUCCAUGGAGACCUUGAAGAAGUCCGGUGCGUAGCUCAUCAGCACCAGCCUCUCCUUUUCCUUCUCCUUCUCCUUCUCUUUUAUCAUCUUCAUCAUCUGCUCUUCCUUCUUCUCAACAUCAUCAUCAUCAUCAUCAUCAUCAUCAUCCUCCUUCUCUACUUCUGCGCCUUCUUCGCUAUCUUCUCUCCGUUUUCUGCUCAGUAAGCCCUUCGCGGGGGCCGACCUGCACCUCAUCAGCAACAGAGCAUUCGGAGGCGGCACCGCAGACGGUGCAACUUCGUUGUCUUCUUCUUCUUCUUCUUCUUCUUCUUCUUUCUCGUCUUCUUCGUCGACUAAUUCUUCCUCUUGCUCUUCAAAAUCGUUCAAAUAAUACACCACAUUAGAUAUUCUGUAUCUGAACGUACGUUUACAGAAGCUGCAAUUUAAGCAAGUAAGAAAAGAAAUAACCCGAUUGGGUCGUUACCUUCUUUCUUGAACCCAAGGCCUUGGUCCUGCUCUAAGACCAUGAACCACUUUGAGAAAAUAGUCCUCGUCUCACUACUACGACUCUCCCCAUCCCCAUCCCCAUGCUUCGCCUCCACCUCCUCAUCUUCAUCGUCGUCCUCUUCCGCUUCGUCGUCGUCGUCCUCCUCCUCCUCCUCCUCCUCCUCCUCCUCGUCAUCCGUGCUGCACUCUACGGCCCCACGGAACGACCCGAAGCAGCCGAAAUUGAAGUGGACCCCGCGCAGGGCGCCGAGGAACUGCCACGCGUCCUUCUUCAGCCCAAUCGCCUCCAGCCACGUGGGCUUCUUCCUCCGCGCCGUCCGAUCGGCGCGGAGCCGCUCGAUCUCCUCCACGACGGAGAGCCAGGUCCUGGUGGGCCGGGGCUUGGGAGUGGGCUUGGGCCGGCCCACCUUGAUCUGGCCCGCGCACGUGACCUUGGGCGAGGUGGGCUCGUCGUCGGCGUCGGGGGAGCGCGCGCGCCUCGCCGCGGCGGCGGCGCGGGGCUUGGCGAAGAGCGGGCUCGGGCUCGGGUGGCCGCGGGAGUUGGCGGUGGUGGUGAUGCUGGGCCGGGCCGGGUGGCGGAGGUGGCGCUUGCCCGGCUCUGCCUUGCUGGGCCGAGAUGGGCUGCAAAUGGGCUUCGGCAUUAGCGCCAGGUGGGCCCGCGAGGGGAAGCACACCAGCAGGUCCGUUGGACCCGCUCCGUUUCCUCCUCUUCCCUUCAUACCUCCUCCUCCUCAGUUCCUCCUCUCUCUCUCUCUCUACUCCCUCUCUCACUCUCUCUCUCUCUAUUGUUUUUGUAGAACUAUGCUCCUACUCUGCUCUUCAUGGCUCUCUCUCUCUCUCUCUCUCUUUUGCUAAUGUUUUUGCACGAGUAUACUCUGUAGGAGAGGUUAGAGGGGGGAUGGGUAGAGUAGUUUAAAAGGGAGGAGCUUUGCCAGCUUUUUCCUUCUUUAAGCUCUUAAUAUUAUAUAGGGGGCAAGAUUUAAUAUUUUAGGCCAAAAUGUAUGGAGACCGCCUCAAAUAUAGGUAUUUAAAAUGGCCCCCUCAUUGUUUUUGUUUUUAUUGAUUGAUUGAUUUUCUUCUUUGUUUUUCGGUUGUAAGUCUUAAUUGUUUUCAUACGGAGUAAUUUUUUGUUAAAUAAAUUUGUGCUACCCAUUUCAAAAUUCCCUAUUAUUAAGGGCUUUCCGUACAUUUUUUACUUUACCAAUAAUUUUACGUGUUUUCCCUGCUUGCUUUUAUAGUUGAUGAUCACGGGCAUUUGCUCCUUUUGUGGGUCUCAGCCUUUUACUUUUUCUUCCACUUUUUGCCUUUUUUUUUUUUUUUUUUUGCAUGCAGAUAUAAAAGGUAUAAAAGGUAGAUAUAAAUUAAUGAACAAGUCCCCAUCAACUAUUUCAUGAACCAACCAAAACCAACUUUUCCCUGUGAGAGAACAUUUUAUUAAAAAGGUGUAACAUGAAACAUGAGCUUAUACUUAAUUAAAGCUUUGCUUACCAUCAUUACAAUUUUUAAUAUUAAUUACUACAUCAUUAAAAUCCUGUAAUACAAUUUAUUAAAUCUUAAACUACAAGGAACUGUUUUAUGGGCUAUGAUGAACCCUAACAACUAGCUUUUCCACACAAAAGAAAAUAGUUUAAUACGUCAUCAUUCUACGUUUCUUUGCCCCUUAUCUCUCUCUCUCUCUCUCUCUCUCUCUCUCUCUCUCUCCUAUUAAAGUACUAUAUAUUCACAUUAUAUUAAUUAUCAUUGUUAGAUAACCUAAUAAGGUAAAUAAUUUAAGGACUCCAUGUAACCGCAACCAAAUCAUUUAAUUUGCUUUAUAACUUUACCGAAGUGACAUAGCCAAAGCAGUUUUUACUAUUGUCUGAGUAUAUACAUUAUAUCUAACCAUGUUUUAAUUUUUCUUUACUUCGCAAAAUAGUAGAUAUUGCUAUGAUAAUAUUAGCUCCCUUUACCACAAAAUUUUCUACUCUUUGUUCCCAUGGCCACCAACUUCGUAAAGCCUUAAUUAGGAUAGGAAAUUAAAGGGGCCAUCCAACUUGUUAUAUAGUAAAACACACUAAUUAAUUUGGUACUAUGGUCCAACUUGUAUCUAUAUUUAUGAAGUACAAGCUAGUUCAUGCUUCCAUAAACAAUUUAGUAUCACUUAUUCAUGAGUAGGCUUGUAAACAUUAUAUAACCAACUUCUUUUUAAAAUGGAAAUUUUAUUUUACUAACCAAAUUGAUAUAUAUAGUUUUAAUAAGUUUUAAUUCUUUCAAUAAAAUGGCUCGGAGCCAAGAUAUAUGCGGCAUGAUCAAUGAUGAGCUAGUUUAGAAGCAAUGCCUUGAGACGUGGGGGAGAGGAUCGGUCAAGCAAAAGGAAAGCGAGCAAAUGAGAUUUGAUUAAAAAUGUGGAAGGUUUGAUCAUGGGUUUGUAUAUUUAGUAGAGGCAUUGAAUCAAGGUGAUGACAAUAUCAAAUAUUCGAAAGUAAAAAUUUGGUGUCAUUGAGGAUAUAUAUGCACAUGAAAGUUCCUAAAUUUAUUUUCUAUAAAGAGGUUUUUGACGCUUGAAGUACUCACUCUUCUUUUAUGUUUUCUACCUUGUUGCAUUUCAAGCAUAUGUAUGGCUCAAAAUGGAACUUUGCUUUAAUGAGAAAAACAUUUGAGGAUUUUAAUAAAACAUUUGUGAAGUACUCAUUUGAACAACCUUAAUUAUUUGCAAUAGCUCUUAUGCAAAACCGAAGGAUUUUAAGUUAUCUUCUAUCUUUUAAAAUAUAUUUUGACAAAUGGCAGUUAGGCGGCCAAGCAGAUCCUUAAAAAUUUAACAUCUACCCCACAAUCUUGAAAUAGGUUACAUAAACAAAAGGAGAUUGAUAAUGUCCAAGAGAUGCUUAAGAUCAUGUUUAAUUAUUGUAUUCUUUAAGCAAGAAGACUUUUGUGUCAAGUUUUGCUUUUGGAAUAAUGUGGUGUACUAUAUAUUAUUAUGAAGCAUCUCCCGGAAUCAAUUUCUAUAUGGAGUUGGUACAUUCAUUUAUCUGGAAACCAAUCAUAAAGCUAGGGCACUCAAUAUUUUACAAACAAUGAUGUGUAAAGAUGGGGUUUAUGUAAAGAAAGGGUACCAUUAUGAAAGAGGAGUGAUGCUUAAUUGAGAGUAUGUAAAAGGAUGGCCCUCCACUAAGGCCAUAGUGAUAGUGGUUGAUGGAUAUAUAACACCUUUGGUUGAGAACCUAGAAAUAUCUGAGCUACCAAAUUUGAAGUGUUAAGGGAAUGUGCAGUGGUUGCUAAUUUGUUUCCUAUAAGAAUUUUUUUUUUUGUGCAUAUUUUUUUUGUUAUAUUAUCCCAAUAAGUUGGGUUGGAUUAUAAUUAUAGACAAUGGGGGUGUGCUUGGUUCGAAAUCGGAAUCGGUAUCGAAAUAUGAAUGAGAAUAAACUAGAAACAGAAUGCAAAUGAUUCAUUACCUUAUUCUAUUUAGUUCGUCGCCUGAAUCGGAAUAAAAAAUAGAAUAAACUAUUCCCGUUGUCGGUAUUUGGUUCAGAUAGAUAUUAGAAAUGUAAUCAAAUUAAUAUGUUAAUUUUAUCUUUAUAAUAUAUUGGUUUAAAUUCAAACUAAAAAUUAAAUAUUAAAAAUUUACGUCAAAAUUUUAAAAUGAUGUCAAAAUUUUAAAUAUAUUUUUUAAAAAAAAUAAAAAUUGAAAUUGGACGGAUAAUUCAAAAUAUAAAAUAAAAUUUUAAUUUAUUCAAAGUCAAACAUAAAAUUAUAAUUUUAAUUUUAAUUUGAAUCCACAAAUUUAAUUGAAAAUUUAAGUAAAUUUUGAAUAAAAUUUUAGAUUUUAAAUUUAAAUUCAAAUUUAUGUAGAUUCGAAAUGCUUGAUUAAAUUUUAAUUUUAAUUUAAGUUCAAAUUAAAAUAAAAAUUUAUAAAUAUAAUUUUAAUUUCAAUUUAAGUUCAAAUUAAAAUUAAAAUGUAUGAAUAUAAUUUUAAUUUUAAUUUAAGUUCAAAUUAAAAUUAAAAUUUUUAAAUAUAAUUUUUAAAUUUAUAUUUAUAUUUUAAUUAAAAAAUAAGUUAAAAAAAUUAAAUUUAAUCCGAGCAAUGGAACCAAAGACGCCCUAGGUAUCAAUUUUCACAUUGGAUUGGUUGAACAGUGUGUGGAAGGUGCAAAUGGACAAAAUUAAGCUUAGUGGGCCGAAGCAAUUGCGGGCUACCUCCUGGCCUUUUCGGCCCAAAAAAUUUUGGGCCGUUACAUCAAACCACCCCAUUUAAACGAUUUAACAAACCCUACUAAUUAAUUUGGCAUCUUAAUAUUAAUAUAUUACUAAUAAUAAUUUGGAUUUAAACAUUUUUGGGAUUGGGCCUAACUAGUUAUUAGUCCUAAUACACUGGGCUGCUACAAAAUCAAUCCGUAAGCUUGAAUGAAUUUUGGAAAAAAAAAAAAAAAAAAAAAAAAAAGAGAGGAGGAAAAAGAGUGAAGGAGAAGGAUUUGAUGUCAUGAUCAACUUAAACAAAUUGGCUCCAACUAAAGCACAGUUUAAACUGAGAUGUACAACUAUGUUGAAGGGUAGUAGCAAAUCAACUUGUGACAGUAAGUUUGUCCCGUGCGUGCAGGUACUAAACCUUAAUUUUUAUAGAUUAUUAUUAUUAUUAUUAUUUUAGAGAUAAGUAGCAUGCUACCCACUUCGUUUAUUUCAUUUAGAAAUAAACUUAGCUAAAACUGUGAAUCAAGUAGAAUUCGAAUUCGGGACCUCGGAUAUCAACCACCAAGCGCUUUGCCACUUGCGCUAGAUUCGAACUCGGGACCUUGUAGAUUUUUAUGAGCUAAAAACAUGCGGAACUAAAUAGAGUAAUUAUCUACGAAGAUCAGCCCAAAUAAUUAAUAGGCACUAUUCAUCCGGCCCAAACUACCAGCCCACAAAGUACAAGUUUGAAUCAUAAACAUAGUUAGUUAAUUCGGAUUCAGCAAAAAUUCGGUACGGGUAUAAUUCGGAUAAAAUUCGUUUUUAAAUUUUUAAAUUCGUUGAAAAAUACGGCUAAAAAACGGGUUCGGUAAUUAUUCAGAUACGUGAUUUAUACGGAUAUAAUACGUUCACCAAUUAAAAAUUCGGGAUAAAAAAUUCGGCUAUAUAAUAAAUAUAUAAUAAUUAAUAUACUAUAUAUAUUAUUAUUAUAAUUUUUAUAUAUAGAUUAAAUAUAUUCAUAUAUUAAUAAUAAACAUAUAUUAAUAAUACAUAAAAUUUAUAUAUUUAAAAAUAGUAAUAAAUAAUUAUAAAUUUAUAAAUAAAAUAUUAUAUAAAUAUUUAUAUAUAAAAAUAAAAUAAUAUAUAUAAUAAAUGAAUAUAUAUUUAUAAAUAAAAAUUAUAUAUAUAUAUAUAUAUAUAGUAUUAUAUAUAUAAAAGAAGGAGGUCCACUGUGGACCUCCCCUCAUGCAGUCCACGAGGCUGAAAUAGCCUCGUGGACCGCGCAUCAUCCAUGCUUUCAAAACCCCCGCAUUUUUACUGUUCAACUUUCACUUUUCCAGAAGGGCAUCGGGCGAGGGGAUGGGAUCUGCUGCCGCGGCUUUUGCUCCCAGCGCCGGCGAGGGCGGCGGAGGACGAUGACGAUGCGAGCAGCGACGAGAGGGCGACAACGCGAGCGGCCACGAGAGCAGCGACGACACUAGCGGCGAUGACGCGACCCUCGGCCGUGAGUCCGUGACCGUGAUCACAGAUUUUUUGGGCGAAUUAUUCGCGAAUCGCGAAUAAUUCGCGAAUAAUAAUUUUUGAGAAAAAAAUCACACCUUUUUUUGAAUUUUUUGAAAAAAUACGAAAAUCGCCGUUUAAUUCGUCCGUAAAAAAAUUGCCGUUUAAUUUGCGUAUUAAACGCGAAUUAACUAACUAAGAUCAUGAAUCACGUUGGGAACAUCGGUCACACCAAUCGACUUUCAAAACUAGGCCCCUUCACAAGCGGACUCGAGAAGAGUUCAAAUUUUUUCUAAUGUGCCGACAUCAAUCGUCCUUGGGACAGGUACCAUUGUAGUGACAGGCCACAUCAUGCAUCAAUUCCAAAGUCAUUAAUUCAAUUAUGUAUCGGUCGCUAUAUUAUUUUAGCAUUUCUCGAUUAAUCAAAAACUAAAUAAUCUCCAAAUUGGCCCACUAUUUAAAACAAAGAUGCUCUCCCACGUCCACACCACAAAUGCGUUAGUUCACACUGCUCUUUUUUUCUUUUUCUUUUUCUUUUUCUUUUUUUUCUGAGAGAUAGGUAGCACGCUAUCCGUUUCGUUUAUUUCAUUUAGAAAUAAACUUAGCUGAAAGUGUAAAUCAACUAGGAUUCGAACUUGGAAUCUCGGGUACCGACCAUCAAAUUUUUUGUCACUUGCUAUAAGGAUAGUUGGUGUGUUAGUUCACACUGCUACAAAAUUAAUAAGAUGCAACCACAGCAAUUUGAAAUUUGAUUAGCUAUGACAAUGAUCCAGCUUUAAGUUUGAUUUCUCUUUCCGAAUAAUUAAUUGUAUAUGCAUGAGUCAUGCCAGGAUAAAGAAAUAAAACCAACUCCCAAAUAGCUCGCGAGGCCUAUAAUUAAAAUUUUUGGUUGGAAUAAACCAUCUUAAUACUUUUUACAAAACUUAAAGCACGUCUGAUGUACUAAAAGAACAUACCUAACUAAAAUUGUUUUUUAUGCAAAAUAAAAAUGAUAUCAUUAUCCAAGCAAUUUAGAAUUAUAUAUAACUUAUAUUACAGUGCAAUGAAAAUUUAUGAUAAAGCCAAUUCUAUUUGUUUUUAUAGAUUAUAUUUGUUACACAAAAAAAAGAAAAAAGAUUAAGAUAAUCCUUCCCUUUAUUUCUUCUAUAAAUAUUAAAAAUAUAGUUUAUAAAUAUUAAAAAUAUAGUAGAAAAUGAGUUCAAAAUAUAUAUAAUACUUCUGCGCCUAGAAAUACAAAUUAACACUCUCAUUCACAUGCAUGAUAACAAGUGUUUUUAUAAGAGUUGAGCUCAUGUACUUUUAAAUGUGCUUACAAUUUUUUAAUAGUUGAAUUGCCUCAAAAUUCGUAUAGUAUUAACAAAAAAAUUUAAUAAAACACACAAUUAAUAAUACUGUACGAACUUCAUGACUAAAAAGUCACAAUUAUAAGUCCUCCUUAACUUUCAAAAGCACAAAAAAUCAACUCUAUUCUGUUAAUUUUUUGGAAAAACGACAAAUAUCGUUCCCGUGGUUUCACACUUUCUCACUUUCGUACCCUAUAAUUUAAAGUGUAUUAAUUUAAUACCUUAUGAUUUUAUUUUUAUAUUUUUAUUAUCGAUUUUUCUAUUUUUUUUCGCUAAGUCAGUGACAAAGUUAAAACUAAAGAACAGUAAAAUGAAUAUUCGAUAAAACUAAGUUAGAUAUUUGAAAUUUUUUAUAUAUAAUUUAAUAAAAUAUUAAUAAAAAACUGAUGAAAAGAUAAAAAUAAGGAAAAACUUCAAAAAACCUCCUUGUGGUUUCAAUUUUUUUCACUUUAGUACCCUGUGGUUUAAAAUGUAUCAAGUUAGUACCCUGUGGUUUCUCACUUUAUCACUUUNNNNNNNNNCAAUCACAAGACACUAAAUAAAAAUCCCUUUUAAAGUUUUUGAGGGGGACACCAAAGUGUGAAAAAGUAAAAUCAUGGGACACCAAAUUUCACAGAGUUCAAUCAUGGGACACCAAAACAUGAAAUAGUGAAAUCAUGGGAUACCAAAGUGUGAAAUAGUGAAAUCAUGGAAUACCAAAUUUUUUGGUGACCCAUGAUUAAACUAUGUUUUAAUUUUGGUGUCCCAUGAUUUUACUAUUUCACGUUUUGGUGUCCCAUGAUUAAACUAUGUAAAAUUUGGUGUCCCAUACUUUCACUAUUUCACUCUUUGGUGUCCCAUGAUUGAACUAUGUAAAAUUUGGUGUCCCAUGAUUUUUAGAAACACCUUAAACUACAAUACACUAUUAAAGUCAAAAGUACAAAACCACAAAAAUAAUAUUUAAAGUUUACCUUAAUUAUUUUAUAUAAUUUAAUAAUACGUAAGAAUAGAGGAAUCUGCAUCCAUCUUAUUUUAUUUCUUUCUAUUUAAUUCAAGCUUGGUCCAGAUAAAGACUAGGCCCAAAUGUGAACAUCCGCAUUUUAUUUGCCACAUACCAAAACACCACCAGCGGGAUACGGGCCAUACGGCAUACAGCAUACAGCAUAGCUAGCAAGCACUGCUGAUCAAAAUAGGAAAAAAAGAAAAAAAAGAAAAAAAAAAAACUAAAAAUGCCGAGACAGGGAAGGAAGACAGGUCAGAUCAGAUCAGAUCAGAUGAGGCCAGCUGUCGGCAGCUCAGUGGUCCUCGUCCUUGCCGGCGGCGGUGGCGAGCCACUGCUCGACGGUGAAGAGCUGCUGGGCGCAGCCGGCGUGGGGCCCGGUCGUCGUCACCUCCACGUAGUUGCAGUACCACCCGUGGUGGGCCCCGCUGCCGUCCGACGUCAGGUUCAGCCGGCAGGGCGGCGACGAAGUGCAGGGCCCGAGCCCGCUGAACACGUCGAGGUUGCCCCGCUCGAAGUAGUUGUGGCCCUCCCCCAUCAGCCCCCCCCACGCCUCCAGGUUCGUGAUCCGCACCCCGGAGCCGUCCGAUCCCGUCAGCUCCACGCCGAUCACCGAGUCCGUGCCCCCCUUCCAGAUCGACCCCGUCCGCACGUACAGCGUGUACACGCACUUGUCCGAGUCGUCCCCGCCCCCCACACCGACCGAUCGGGAUCCGACGGCCUGUGUGCGUAGGAUCGACGGUAAUUAAAUAUGGGAAAAAAGAGGUUUAUUUAUUUACCGUUUAAACGCGCGCUUACCUCGAUGAGUGAAGCAGCAGCGGUGGAGUGGACGAGGGAGGAGCCGAGGAGGAGGAAGAGGAGGACGAGGAAGGGGAAAGGGAUACCCAUUUUUGAGGAUUUGAGGAGGAAAAGAAAGGGGAAAUGAAAUAUAAAGGGCAAAAAUAAAAGAGUGAUCGCUGUGGUGGGCCCCAGGCAUCGAUGUGUAAAUAGUUGGAUCGUUUUUAAUUAAUGAGAAGGGGAUUAUUCUAAUCCGUGUUAUUAACGAAAAAUAAACUCUAUUGCCAAGGAAAAUUUGUUCAAAACUUCUUUACAACAGUUUUUAAGAUAUGACUUAAACCAUUCUUAUUAUUUUGAAAUAAAAUAAGAGUAAUAAGUGAUAUAGAGGAAAUGCAUAUUAUGCAUUCCAUCCGCUACAGAUCUGAGAAUGUGUCACGUGAUAUUCUAGAUGAUAUUCUAGAUGGGAUUUUGCACAUCCCACCUGGUUCACACAAUGUUCGAUCUUAUUAAAGAUCUAGGGGCAUUUCCGGUGUAUCGAUCGAAAACUUGUUUUGUCGGGUUCGAGACCCGGAGUUGCGGUUGACCCCGCUGUAAUUCGCAACGUGUCGGUGCGAACGAGCCCGAUCCCAACCCGCGUCGCUCCGCGACCGUGCUGUGGUGCGUCGUACGGAGCUUAUGGUCUAGAGCCCACGUUCUCAUCCCUAUUCAGGUGGGACCCUCGCUUCCAUGACACGUGGCAUUUGUUUGUGUGUGUGUGUGUGUGUGUGUGUGUGGUGUGUGUGUACAUGAGUUAUAUUGCUUAUAUAUAUAGCAUCUCUAAUCAAGUACAUAAUUUUUUUUAGUUCAACCAUUCAAUAAUAGUUAUUAGAAAAAUAUAUUAUUAUAUCUUCUCUUAAAUAAAAAAAUUUAAUUAGUUGAUUAUUGAUAAUAUAAUGUAAGUAUUACGUAGUAAAUUUCUUUGGCCGUAGGGACGUAACGCAUAAAUCUGGAACCUGUCAAGUCUCGCAAUGGCCUAUUUGAUAGGAGUGAUUUUUAUAAAAUUAAUUUUGAAAUAAAAAAUUAAUUUGGUUAAAAAUUAUAGAAUUUUAUGCUAAGGGUGUGUUCGGUUACUUGUAAAAUCACCUCGAAUUUUUUUUUUCGAUUGGAACAUAAAAUUUUGAUGUUUUUUUACUUGUAAAAAAAUUAUUCCAGCAAAAAAUUUUACAAAUCAGAAGGAAAAUCAAACUUUAAUUUAAUAUUCGAAUUAAAAAUUAAAAAUAAAAUUAAAAAUUGAAUUUGAAUCCAAAAUUAAAAUCGAAUUUUAAGUAGCAAAUUUUAGAUGCUUCUUCUGAUUAUGGGCUUCUAAAAUUGAAAAAUUGAAAAAUCGAUUCUAAAAAUUAAAAUCAGAUUUUGAAAUAGAUAUUGCCAAAUGCUCUAUUGGCAGUAAAAUUACUUUUGGAGAGAGCUAGGCCUAACACGGACAUAGUGAACGGACACGGGCCGUACAAGAGACGCUGGUGGUGUUAGACUACGUCUUGGUGGCCCACGGUACGGCCCGGCCUGCAUCAAAAUACGGGUCCUUCUGUAGCGGUUCUAGAGCCUGUAAGCCGACAUGAUACGGCCCAUUUGGGCAGUGCUCAACCAGGCAUCGAAGCCCGGCCCGACAAUUUUUUUAAUAUUUUAUAAUAUUAAAAGAAUUUAAAUAUAUAUAAACUAAUAAUUGUAUAUAUUAAAAUAAUAUUAUUAAAAAAUUUGAAAGUAAACAUUAAGAAAAUAUUAAAAAAAAUUAAAAAGGGUCCUCGAGGAUGGAUCAACUCCCAAAUCCAAAGGGAGAGGGAGAAAAUAGAGACCUCGAUUUCCUCAUAUUUUUCUUUUUUAAUUAUACAUUUUUUUUUUUUUUCAUUUAAAGAGUGCAUGUCAAUCUAAAAAGAAAGUCAGUAUUACUAUAAUAUAUACAUUUUUCACAAUAUUAUUCUUAUAUGCUAUGGAUGUCUGUAUUGUCAUAUUCAUGUGGCGCAUUUCGAAGCGCUGACGAGUGAAUUAAUUAAAGAUCUCCAGAUCGUAAAUACGAAAGCAAACCAAUUAAGAGAUGAUCGAUCGAUAUACACAUAAUAAUAGAGUAAAUAAGUCCAAAUCUUAUUUAUUGUCCACAUUUAUUUUACUAGAUACCAAGACACAUCAGUGGGCCGGUGGUGCGUAGAAAGUAAACUCAUAUAUGCAUACAGCAGCAGUAAAUCGAGUACGCAUGCAGCAGUACGUAGACAAGCUAACCGCUGCCGGCGCCUCGAUCUCACUUCUCCUCAUCGCCGUCCACGCCGUUGCCGUUGCCGUUGCCGUCGCCAUCGCCGUCGCCGUUGUUGCCGGUGUGUGGGCGGCAGUUGUCGCGCACGGCAGUGAGAUGGUGCCCCCCUCCGGCCGCGAGCCACACGUGGAAGUCGAACCGGUGCUUGGUGCACUGGGAGUCGGGCCCGGCGGCCCACAGCUCCACGAAGUCCACGAACCACCCGGGAUGGGACCCGCUCCCGUCCGACGUCAGCCUUAUCCAGCAGGGCGGCCACGUGAUGCACGUCCCGCACCCGGCGAAGGCGUCGGCAUAUCCCCUCUCGAAGUAGUUGUAGCCAUCCCACAUUAAUCCGCCCCACGACUCUAGGUUCGGGACGUGGUACCGGACGUGAUCCGGUCCCGCUAAGGUAACGCUUAUCUUCGAGUCCGUGCCCGCGUUGACCCGGUUCCCCGUUUGCACGCGCAGCGUGUAAAGGCAGUGGUUCGAGCCCCCGCUUCCCACGCCGCAGCCCUGCUCCAGUCCCGCGCCCUGCCAUAACACACAUCAAACAACAAUAAUUUAAUCCGUCAAAUAUAUAUUAUAAGACAUAGAAAUUGAACUCUCAAUCUCCCCGACAGGAAAAAAAGUUUAGAAUUAAGUAUAAUACCAUAUUACAUAAUGUGAAACGAUGGUACAACUUUUUGUCAUAAGCAGCUACAUACUAAUCCUAGAAAAUUGUAUUCUAUCUUAGGAGAUGUUCGGUUGGAUCGGUGCAUAUAACGAGAUAUACAAGAGAUGGCGAGAGACAGACAGAAAUGAUUGCAUUGCGAUAAAAGAUGGAGAGAGAAAGGGCUUGAGCUGAAAUACAUUAAUAAGAGUGCAUGAAUAGUAUUCUUUGUCGACUUUCUUACCAGUACAAUCAUCAAAUAAUAAAUUCAUAUGCUCGUAAGAGCAUUCCAGCCAUCGCGAGAAAACGGAGACCAGUCAGAAAUCAUCCUGCGUUCAAUACUCUUAAUUUCUUGUGGUUGUACAUUUGUGGCAGGUUAUCACCAGCUGAGUUCAGUCUUUAAGCUAAUUUUUUUGGAAAAUAAAAUAUGCUAUUGAAUCAUAAAUAUCAAAAUUUUUUAAGGAGCGAAAAUCAAACUCCUUACUUACAAUCACAGAAGAAUGCACAUGAUAUUCCAAUUCAGGCUUUCGAGCAUAUUUUCGUUUUAUCAAAUACAACAUGUUUGUUGGGUAAAUUAACGAUAUAUACUUAAUAAAACAUAUCCGCGCAUUUCGUUCUGUAAAUUCAAACAACAUCGGACGUUCUUAUAAACUUUGAAAACUCAAGGGUUCAAGGCCAUUUUUGGGGUCCCUGAUGAAUAGCUAUAUAUUUCUCUGCGGUCACGUACCUCUAUGAUCGGACGGCCGGUGGAGUAGGCGAGGAAAGGUAGGAGGAAGGGGAGGAGGAAGUAUAGUGGUUUCCAAGCUAUGGUGGCAGCCAUGGAGAGUAAUUGAGAUUGGCUCGUUGGGGAGAAAGGAGGGAAAGAGAGCUGAUAUAUAUAGAGGAAAGGAGACUGGGUGUGGUCCCCACCGCUUGCUUAUCUUCGGGACUCUAUGCCCACGUUUAUAUUAAAUUAAAAUAUUAAAAUAUUAUAUUAUUUAUAUUAUUUAUUUUAAAUUAAAAUAUUAAAUUAAAAUAUUAAAAUAUUAAAAUAUUAUAAAACGUCUAUGCCCACGUUUUAAAUUUUAUAUUUAUAUUUUAAACUAAAAUAUUAUAUUAUAUAUUUUUUGUUUAGAUUUUAUAUUAAAAAUUAAAAUUCACAAUUUAAAUUAUUUUUUAAAAAAAAUUUAAUAAAAAAAUAUUAUUUAUAAACAGUAAAAAAAUUACUAAAUAUGACCGAGAGCUAUUUUNUUAAAAUAGAUUAUAUUUUAUUAUCAGUAUUAUUAAAUUUUUUAAAAUGAACAAAACAAAAGAAUUUUAUAUACACCGAAGGAAAUUGCCUGAUUAGCUUCAGCUCAUGAUUGAAAGGUUCCCCUUUAUAAUGGUUUUGUCAAGAAAGAUAUUACAUAUAUAUAGUAUUUUACUUAUAUACUAGAGUAUUAAUGUAUACAUAUUUUAUUUAUAAAUUUGUAAUUAUUUAUUAAUAUCUCUAAAUAUAGUAUUUUUUAUAUAUUACGUAAUAUAUUUAUUAUAAUUUUAAAUAUUUUAAUCUAGAAAUUAUAAUAAUAAAUUAUAUAUAUAAGUAUAUUAAUUGUUAUAUAUAUUAUUAUAAUAUAUAAUAAAAUAUAUAUUAAAUAGUAUAUAUUUUUUUUUCAACCAAAACAAUUGUCAUGAAAAAUUUUUUUUUUCUUACAAAACUAAACACUAAACAACGUAAAACUAUUUUUUCACGAAAAUUUUUUAUUAUCAUUUUUUUCACGAGAAAACUAACAAAGAAACUUUUAAGUUUAAAGAAUCAUACAUAUGAAUCAUGCUUCACAAGUUCUAAAAAAUUACUUUCCAAAUUUAGUCCACUUAAAAUUCUUAAAAAAAUAAGUUUACAAAAUUAGUCAUAAAGAAUUUGAAAUAAGAUUAAUUAUAUAUAAAAUAAUAAUUAUGUUAAAUUUCUAAUGAUUUGAACCUUUUUACCUUCUUCAUUUAAAAGUCUUUAUUUUAAAUUAUUUAGCUUACAUUCUAUUAGUAUAUCAUGAUAGUAUUAUUUUAAUUUGAUUCAAUAAUUUUUCUAAUAAUAAAAGCUUAAUAUGUAAAAAUUAAUAUAUAUAUUAUAAAAGUUGUCAUAAAAAGAUAUUAGAAAAACUAUAAUAAAUUAAAAAUUUGAAAUAAAAUUAAUUUUCUUCACCAUUUCAAAUAUGAGUAUUAAAAAUAAUAUAAAUAAUAAUUAUGUUAAAUUUCUAAUGGAUUUGAACUUUUUACUUCUCAUUUUAAAAUCUUUUUAUUUUAAAUUAUUUACCUUACAUUCUAUUAGUAUAUCAUGAUAGUAUUAUUUUAAUUUGAUUCAAAUAUUUUCUAAUAAAAGCUUAAUAUGCAAAAAAUUAAUAUAUAUUAUAUAAAAGUUGUCAUAAAAAGAUAUUAAAAAAACUUAAUAGUAAAAAUUAAUAUUAUAUAUUAUAUAAAAGAUGUAAUUUAAAAGAUAAAAUUAAAAUCCAUGCAUUGCACGGGUUAGUUGCUAGUUACUAAAUAAUACCGAGAGCUAUUUUAAAAUAUGAUUAUAUUUUAUUAUCAGUAUUAUUAAUUUUUUAAAAUGAACAAACAAAAGAAUUUUAUAUACACCGAAGGAAAUUGCCUGAUUAGCUUCAGCCUCAUGAUUGAAAGGUUCCCCUUUAUAAUGGUUUUGUCAAGAAAGAUAUACAAUAUAUAUAGUAUUUACUUUUAUAUUGUUAUAUUGGUUUUAGAUUUGUAGUUAUCUAAAUUGAGGUAAAUUCUAAUCUAAUUGGGAUUGAGAUAUUAUAGAUUUAAUUUGGCAUAUAUGAAUUAUAAUUAGGAGUAAUUCUAAUACUAAUUAGAAUUAGACUCUAGUUAGGAGACAUGUAUUAUAAAUACAUGCUACGGCCAAUUAAAGAAGUCGUGACAAAAAGAUUAAGAGCCAUGGAAAAAAAUUAAGGUGUUUGGUGCUCUGUCCGGUAAAGAAGCAGUCUCGACUCAAAAUUAAACUAUGCUGUAAUUAAGCUAUAUAUUUGAGGAUCAGAGUUGACCGACCAUGCAGGUUGGUCUCUAACGAGGAGCCGUAGCCUUAAUUAAGAGGUGAUGCUAUAUUAAAGUAUCUAUUGAGUCGAGCCAUCUCUUCUUUGAUGCUUAUGUCCGUACCACCAAACUGGGAGCGUGCGAGCGUGGUGGCGCUUCGUUAAGAGGUCGAGCAACUUAAGUUUUGUGACGGAUGCUAAUUGCAGCGUUUCGGAUCUAAUUAACGUUUUGGUCUUUUGAGAGAUCUUCUUUGUACUCCGCGCUUUCGACAUUAAUAAAUUAUUUGCUCCGUCUUCGCCCGUGGACGUAGGCCGUUGGCCGAACCACGUAAUUAUUGGUGUGUUCUUUCCUUAUCUUUUCUUUUCUUGCAUUAAGUUAUUUUCUGGAUCUAUUUUUCGCCGUUCCGAUUUUAACAUAUAUAGAGAUAUUAUUUUAUAAUAUUUUAUUUAUAAAUUUGUAAUUAUUUAUUAAUAUCUCUAAAUAUAUAUUUUUUUAUAUAUUAUGUAAUAUAUUUAUUAUAACUUUAAAUAUAUUUAAUCUAGAAAUUAUAAUAAUAAUAAUAUAUAUAGUAUAUUAAUUGUUAUAUAUUAAUAAUAAUAUAUAAUAAAAAUAUAUUAAAUAGUAUUUUUUUUUUUUCAACCAAACAAUUGUCAUGAAAUAUUUUUUUUUCUUACAAACUAAACACUAAACGACGUAAAACUAUUUUUUCACCGAAAAUUUUUUAUUAUCAUUUUUUUUUUUUCACAAUUUUUCCUAGAAUCAAACACAUGCUAAGGGAGCUGGUUGGAUUAUUGAGGCCAUGCAUGACCCAUGACAUGGGCGUGCUUAGACAAAUUUUAGCACAUGGGAGAGAAAAUUUGCUUUAGAAAAGAGUUCAAAAGGUCGAAGAAUCUUUCUUUUCAUCCUAACGGACAAAAGGGAAAUAUGUGUGUGCCGAGUGUACAAUGGCAUCUCUUAUUGCCAAAUUAGUACCCGCGCACUAUUGCUGAUCGAUUUCCCAAAAAUAAAUAAAAUUUAAAAAUUUAAAAAUAAUAAUUAUUAUAGUAAAUACAAAAAUAAAAAUGUAAGAAAGAUAAAAAAAAAAAAUAAAAAAAUCAUAAGAAUAAUAAAUUAUAUUUAUAACAGUAGUAGUUCGAAUCUGAAAUUACAGUUCAUUAAAGUUUGAGAACUAAAACUUCACAUACAUCAUACUUUGAGCAAGAAAAUAUAAGAAUUAAAAUUUGAGAACUAAAUUUUCAUGUGUCUUAUAGUUUGAGUAUCAAAAAUGUAAUUUGUUCUUUUUAUAUAUUUUAAUUUUAUUCCUGACAAGCAUAGAAUUGAGUAUCGAUCGGUUUUAUUCAAUUAGUAAUUUUAUUUGAGAAAAGAAUAUAUAUUAAAUUAUCUAAUAAAUUUUAAAAUGUCUAAUUGUUAAAAUUAAAAGUUGACCAAUCGAUCAUAUUUUGAAUAUUUUAAAAUAUUUUAACUGUGAAAUUGAUUGCUCAUUGAACUAUAAAUAUUGUAUUGAAGUUAAAUAUUAAAAUUAAAGUAAAAACGUACAAAAGUUUUAUUAUCUAACUUUUUUAUAUGUUAGACUUGAAUUAGUUAAUGAUACUUUGACUUCAAAAUUUAAAUUUAUCGUUUAGAUUUACAUAUUUAAUUAGUACUUCCUAUAGUUUUCACAACUAAAUUUAUUAAAUAAGUAAUUAACUUAAGCUUCAUCCACUGCUCUUUUAUUUUUUAUUAUAUAAUUUCUAUCUAAGUGAUCAAUAUAAUAAAAUUAAAUUUAUAUUUAAUAAUGCAAUCUAAACUUUUCUAGAGUGAAAUAAUGGAGAGAAACUUCUUACCAAAGGAAGUGAAUAUUGGGGAAAAAAAUUUUGCCAAUUUCUUUAGAGCUUUGUAUAAUUAUAGAUCACCACCUAAACUUUUGAAAUACAAAGAAACGUACUUCAAAGUUGGGGAUUUUCGUAACAAUUAAGAACAAUACUACACGUACACUUAUAAUGAAGAUAUAAAUCUUACACCAUAACAUUUAAAAGGCCAAUGUUUACUCAUUUGUCUUAUAAUUUUUUUUUUUAAUACUGCAAAUCCAAAAGAUUUUAGACCCUAGAAUUAUAGGUGUNAUAAAUUAUAUUUUAUUGUUAGAAUUAUUAAAUUUUAUAAAAUGAUUCAAAUAUAGAAAUUUGGGAAAACUUCAAAAACCUGUGGUUUCGUAGUUUCUUACUUUGCUCCCCUAUGGUUUAAAAUGUAUCAAUUUACCCCCCUGUGGUUUCUUUUUUCUCAUUUUCUUAUCAAUUUUAUUAUUUUUUUUCUUAAAUCAGUGAUAAAGUUAAAAUUAAAGGGUACUAAAGUGAAUAUUUAAUAAAUCUAGAUGAGUAAAAAUUUGGUGUCAUUGAGGAUAUAUAUACACAUGAAAGUUCCUAAAUUUAUUUUCUAUAAAGAGGUUUUUGACACUUGAAGUCUCACUCUUCUUUUAUGUUUUCUGCCUUAUUGCAGUUCAAGCAUAUGUAUGGCUCAAAAUGGAACUUUGCUUUAAUGAGAAAAACAUUUGAGGAUUUUAAUAAAACAUUUGUGAAGUACUCAUUUGAACAACCUUAAUUAUUUGCAAUAGCUCUUAUGCAAAACCUAAGGAUUUUUAAGUUAUCUUCUAUCUUUUAAAAUAUAUUUUGACGAAUGGCAGUUAGGCGGCCAAGCAGACCCUUAAAAAUUUAACAUCAACCCCACAAUCUUGAAAUAGGUUACAUAAACAAAAGGAGAUUGAUAAUGUCCAAGAGAUGCUUAAGAUCGUGUUUAAUUAUUGUAUUCUUUAAGCAAGAAGACUUUUGUGUCAAGUUUUGCUUUUGGAAUAAUGUGGUGUACUAUUAUUAUGAAGCAUCUCCCGGAAUCAAUUUCUAUAUGGUGUUGGUACAUUCAUUUAUCUGGAAACCAAUCGUAAAGCUAGGGCACUCAAUAUUUUACAAACAAUGAUGUGUAAAGAUGGGGUUUAUGUAAAGAAAGGGUACCAUUAUGAAAGAGGAGUGAUGCUUAAUUGAGAGUAUGUAAAAGGAUGGCCCUCCACUAAGGCCAUAGUGGUUGAUGGAUAACACCUUUGGUUGAGAACCUAGAAAUAUCUGAGCUGCCAAAUUUGAAGUGUUAGGGGAAUGUGCACCGGUUGUGAAUUUUUUACCUAUAAGAUUUUUUUUUUUUUUUGGGUGCAUAUUUUUUUAUUAUAUUAUCCCAAUAAGUUGGGUUGGAUUAUAAUUAUAGACAUUAGGUGCUUGGUUCAAAAUUAGAAUCUGUAUCGAAAUCGGAAUAAGAAUAAGUUGGAAAUGGAAUCAGAAUGAUUUGUUACCUUAUUCUAUUUGGUUCGUUGCCUGAAUCGGAAUCAGAAACAGAAUAAACUAUUCCCAUUGUCGGUGUUUGGUUCAGAUAUAUAUCAAAAAUGUAAUCAAAUUAAUUUGCCAAUUUUAUCUUUAUAAUAUAUUAUUUUAAAUUCAAAUUAAAAAUUAAAUAUUAAAAAUUUACGUCAAAAUUUUAAAUAAUUUUUUUUCAUAGUUUUAUGUAGAAUCAAACACAUGCUAAGAGAGUAGGUGUUGGAUCGUUGGCGCUAAUCAUUAAUCCCAAAAGAUCGAGCUGUUAGAAAUACACAACCAAUUCACUUAAAGCGUACAGAAACAGCGCCCACGGGUCUUGAUUAUGACUCGGCCCACAUGGUUUCACACUAUUUCGAACAUGACUCGGCCCAAUCCAGCCCCAUGCCAUUUCGAACAUGACUCGGCCCACAUGGCCUCCGGCCACAGGGCAGGAUGCUGGCUCAUUUAAGCCAACAAUCCCCCCUCCAGCAUCUGCACACAUUUGCAGCAUGCGAAAAUCGAACCCGUGACCACUGGCUCUGAUACCACUUGUCGGAUCGUUAGUGCUAAUCAUUAAUCUCAAAAGCUCGAGCUGUUAGAAAUACGCAACCAAUUCACUUAAAGCGUAUAGGAACAGCGCCCACGGGUCUCGAUUGUGACUCGGCCCACCUGGCCUCAUGCCACUUCGAACAUGACUCGGCCCAACCCAACCUCACGCCAUUUCGAACAUGACUCGACCCACAUGGUCUCCCAUCAUAGAGUAAAAUGCUGGCCCAUUUAAACCAACAGCAGAUUAUAUUAUUGAUGCUAUGCAUGACAUGACAUGACAUGACAUGCACGAGCUUAGACAAAUUUUAGCACACAGGGAAGAGAAAAUUUGCUUUAGAAAAGUGUUCAAAAGUAGAAGAAUUUUUAUUUUCAUCCUAACGGACAAAAGGGAAAUGAGUGUGCCGAGCGUACAAUGGCAUCUCUUAUUGCCAAAUUACUACCAGCGUACGGCUGCAGAUCGAUUUCGUAAAAAUAAAUAAAUUUAAAAAAUUUAAAAAAUAGUAACUGUUACAGUAAAAUAUAAAAAUAAAAGUAUAAAAAAGAUAAAAAAAUAAGAAAAAAAUUAUAAGAAUAAUAAAUUAUAUUUAUAACGGUAGUAGUUCGAAUAUAAAAUUGCAGUUCAUUAAGACUGCGUUUGGUUGGAGAACUAAAUUUUGGAGAACAACUUUUAUUGUUUCCGAGAACAAGGGAUAUUCUGUUACAAGAUAGAACAAUUGUAAAUUUAUGUUUGGAUGCAUUCGAGAAUAUUCUAGAGGAUAUCUUUAAUAGCUUUUGUAUAAAAAGUCUAGAACAACAUCUAAAUAUGUUUUUAAAAAUAAAAUAAUUAAUUUAUAUUAUUAUAUUUUAUAUAAAAUUAUUUCAUAUAGUAAUUUAUAAUAUAAUAUUUUAUGUAAGAAUCUAAUUUAAAAUAGUAUAUUUUAUUUUAUUAUAUAUAAUAAUUUAUUUUAUGUAAUAAUUUAUUUUAUAUAAUUUAUUCAUAAUAUAUAAAUAAAUAAAGUAUAAUACUAACAAUAUCCCUAUAAUUUUAAUUAAUAAUUAGUAUAAAUUUCAAAACAAAUUACAAUAUAUAUAAUAUAUGAAAAAAUAAUUUUAUGUAUAUAAUAAUUAAUAUCAAAUAAAAUAAUUAAAUAUUAAUAUAUAAAUGUUAAAACUUAAUAAAAUAAAAAAUAUAUCAAAUUUAAUUAAUUUAUAUUAUAUAAUAAAAUUUAAGUAUAAAUAUAUUAUCAUAAAAAUAAUAUUUCUAUUAAUAUAUUUAUUUAUUAAAUUUGAGCAUUCAUUUAUUUAAUUUAUUAUUUGAAAUUAAUUAAAAUAAAGUAUAAAAAAAAGAGCAUAAUAGAAAAAAAAGAAGAAAAAAAAAGGCAAACAAUUGUUGUUCCAGCUUGUUCUCCAUGUUUGGAAGAAUAAGCUUAACGGGUUGUUCUGUUCUCAGAACAACCCGUUAAGCCCGGAACAACUUUGCUGUCCCAUUUUGCAUUAUGUUUGGGGAGAUAAAGAGAGAUAUCCCGUUUUGUUCUGGAAUAUUCCUCUAACCAAACGCAGCCUAAAGUUUGAGAACUAAAGCUUCACAUACCUCAUUCUUUAAAAUUGAGGACUAAAUUUUCAUGUGUCUUAUAGUUUGAGGAUCAAAAGCGUAAUUUAUUUUUUUUAUAUUUUAAUUUUAUUCUAGACAAACACAGAAUUGAGUAUCCAUCGAUUUUAUUCAAUUUGUAAUUUCAUUUGAGAAAAAAAUAUAUUAAAUUAUAUAAUAAAAUUUAAAAUUACUAAUUGUUAAAAUUAAAAGUUGACCAAUCGAUCAUAUUUUGAAUAUUUCAAAAUAUUUUAAAUAUGAAAUUGAUCGCUUAUCAAACUAUAAAUAUGAUAUUGAAGUUGGAUAGUAAAAUUAAAUUAAAAAUGUACAAAAGUUUUUUGAACUACGAAUCAUUUUGGAUCAUAUAUUCAACCUUUCAAAUUUUUAUUUUUACUAUCUAACAUUCUUAUAUGUUAAAUUUGAUUCAGUUAAUGAUAAUUUCACUUCAAAAUUUGAAUUUAUCGUUUAACGUUUACAGAUUUAAUUAGUAUAAUUCAUAUAAUUUUUGCAACUAAAUUUAUUAAAUAAGUAAUUAACUUAAACUUCAUCCAUCGGUCUUUUAUUUUUUAUUGUAUAAUGUUUAUCUAAGUGUCCAAACACUUGAAUUAUCUUGCAUAUUAUAUAAAAUUAUAAGUUUAUCUCGCCAACCACCCCAAACCUUUUCAAUACGCAAGUUUUAAAAUUUAAAUUUUAAAUUGUUAAAUUAUUAUAUUUUAAAUUUUAAAUUUUAAAUUUAAGUUUUUAUUUUAAAUUUUAAAUUUCAAAUUUUAAUUUUUAAAUUUUUAAUUUUUAAAUUUUAAAUUUAUAUUUUAAAUUAAAAUAUUAAAUUUUAUUUUUUUGUUUAGAUUUUAUAUGCAAAAUUAAAAUUCAAAUUUUAGAUUAUUUUAAGAUAAAAUUUAAUAAAAAAUUAUUAUUUGUUAACAGUAAAAAAAAUUACUAAAAUAUGACCGAGCGCUAUUUUGGAAUAGAUUAUAGGAUUAUUAAAUUUUAUAAAAUGAACCAAAUAUAAAAAUUUUAUAAACACUGUAAUUCAUAAUAUUAUUACUGUAUUAAAUUAAAAAUUUUAAAUAUCUAAUUACGUCGAAAUAAUUUGUAAUAUUAUAUAGUGCGAACCAAAACGAAUGCUUAAAUCUUAAUCAGUGUGGGAAAGAACAGGUAAAAAGGAAUACCCACGAGGGAUUUUAGGGAGUCCGUGUGUGAUUUUGUGCUCCUGGGCGGGGUGGAGCUGGAUGAGGUGCGUCUCCUAAUCCGUGUUAUUAAUGUAAAAAAAAAUGAACUAUGCUGCGAAGGAAAUUGCCUAAUUAGCUUCUGCUCAUGAUUGAAAGGGUCUCCUUUAUAAUGGUUUUGUCCAGAAGAUAUUAUAUAUAUAGUAUUUUAUUUUUAUAUAAAAAUAUUAUUAUAUAAUAUUUUAUUUAUAAAUAUAUAAUUAUUCAUUAAUAUCUUUAAAUAUAUAACACUUAUAUAUUAUGUAAUAUGUUUAUUACAAUUUUAAAUAUAUUUAAUAUAUAUAUAGAAGUUAAAACAAUAUUAUAUAUAGUAUAAUAUUAUAUUAAUUGUUAUCUAUUAAUAAUAUAUAUAAUAAAAAUAUAUUAAAUAGUUUUUAUUUUUUUUAACCAAACAACCGUUAUGAAAAAAAAAAAAAAAAAUUCUUACAAAUUAAACACUAAACUAAACGAUGUUAAAUUAUUUUUCCACCAAAACUCUUUUUUCAUCGAAAUUUUUUUUUCUACAAUUUUACGUAGAACCAAACACCCUAAUGUAUCGUUUGGUUCGAGUAUAAGUAAGAACCGGCUAUUAUAGGGAUAACUACAAGUUUAGGUAUAAGCAAAAACUAGACCAACUUUACGUUUGGAUGAAAUUUGGUUGUUCCGAGAAUAAGAAAAAUAACGUUUGAUUAGAUAAAAUGGAAUAAGAAAAAUAGUGGGUAGUUAUAAAUAGAAAAAUGGUGGGUAGUUAUUAUCCCUCUUAUUAUAUUUGAAUUUGAAUUUUUAAACUUUUUAUUUUUAUUUUUAAAAUUUAAAUUUUAACUUUUAAAUUUCAAAAUCUAAAAUUAAACUCUCAACUUUUAAAUUUUAAAAUUUAAAUUUUAAAAUAUAAAUAUCAAAAUUUAAAUUUAAAAAUAUAAAAUAUAAAAUUAAAAUUUAAAAUUUAAAAUUUAAAAUUAUAAACUUGAAUUUUGAAAUUACAAAUUAAAAAAAUUUUAAAUUAUUAAAAAAAAUUUUUUAAAAAAAUAGAGGUGGGAACAGCUUGUUCCCACCACUAUUCCACCUAAGAGCAGGAACAAGCUAUUUCCGCCUUUAGCAGAUUAUCCCCACCCUUAGUAGGUUAUCCUGAUAUAACCUGCUAAGGGCGGGAAUAACUUAUUCCCAUCCUUAGAUAUAGUGUUUGGGGAACAAAACGGAAUAACCCCUUAUCUCCAUCCUUAUUUUUCAACCAAACAAGGCUUCACGUAGGGGGGAGAGAAAAUUUGCUUAUUAUACCGGGGAUAUUGGUUUGGAAAUUAGUAGGAACUAGUUAUACCGGGGAUAGGUAGAAGUAUGGGUUUUUGUAAGAAUAGGAUAUUUUUUUGUUUGGAUGAAAUUGUGAAUAUAAGCUGGAACUAGAAAAAUUAUGUUUGGAUGGUUAUUGGGAAUAACAGAAAUGAUUUUUUUUUUUUUUUGAGAGAUAGGUAGUACGCUACCGUUUCGUUUAUUUCAUUUAGAAAUAAACUUAACUGAAAAUGUGAAUAAAUUAGGAUUCGAACUUGGGUCUCGAAUACCAACCACCAAGCCCUUUGCCACUUGCUUUAGAGACGGUCAAUGAAAUAGUUGAUGGUUAUAAAUAGAAAAUAAUGAUAUUACCCCUAUAAUUAAAUUUAAAAUUUAAAAUUUUAAACUUAUAAUUUUAAAUUUAAAAUUUAAACUUUUAAAUUUUAAAAUUUAAAAUUAAAAUUAAAAUUUUAAAUAACAAAAUUUAAAUUUAAGACCAAAUUUAAAUUUAAAAUAUAUAAAAUAUCAAAUUUAAAAUUUAAAAUUUAAAAAUUUAUAAUAAAAAAUUUAAAUUUAAAACUUUAAAUUUUACAAUUUUUAAUUUUAAUUUUAAAAUUAUAAAAUUUAAAAUUCUAAAUUUUAAAACAAAACUCUCUCACUCUCUCUCUCU